ACCUCGGUCGUUUGGUGGUCAGAACACCUGACUGCCAAUCCAUAGGUCCCGGGUUUGAACCCCGGUAGAGGUA
rnacentral:tRNA from 1 species